rnacentral:rRNA from 1 species
UNCCUGCGGAAGGAUCAUUACCGAGUGAGGGCCCUCUGGGUCCAACCUCCCACCCGUGUCUAUCGUACCUUGUUGCUUCGGCGGGCCCGCCGUUUCGACGGCCGCCGGGGAGGCCUUGCGCCCCCGGGCCCGCGCCCGCCGAAGACCCCAACAUGAACGCUGUUCUGAAAGUAUGCAGUCUGAGUUGAUUAUCGUAAUCAGUUAAAACUUUCAACAACGGAUCUCUUGGUUCCGGCAUCGAUGAAGAACGCAGCGAAAUGCGAUAAGUAAUGUGAAUUGCAGAAUUCAGUGAAUCAUCGAGUCUUUGAACGCACAUUGCGCCCCCUGGUAUUCCGGGGGGCAUGCCUGUCCGAGCGUCAUUGCUGCCCUCAAGCACGGCUUGUGUGUUGGGCCCCCGUCCCCCUCUCCCGGGGGACGGGCCCGAAAGGCAGCGGCGGCACCGCGUCCGGUCCUCGAGCGUAUGGGGCUUUGUCACCUGCUCUGUAGGCCCGGCCGGCGCCAGCCGACACCCAACUUUAUUUUUCUAAGGUUGACCUCGGAUCAGGUAGGGAUACCCGCUGAACUUAAGCAUAUCAAUAA